rnacentral:rRNA from 1 species
UACAGGGGGGGCAAGCGUUGUUCGGAAUUACUGGGCGUAAAGGGCUCGUAGGUGGCCAACUAAGUCGGACGUGAAAUCCCUCAGCUUAACUGGGGAACUGCAUCCGAUACUGGAUGGCUUGAGUUUGGGAGAGGGAUGCGGAAUUCCAGGUGUAGCGGUGAAAUGCGUAGAUAUGCGGAGGAACACCGAUGGCGAAGGCAAUCCCCUGGGCCUGCACUGACGCUCAUGCACGAAAGCGUGGGGAGCAAACAGG